GCGGAAGUAGCUCAGUUGGUAGAGCAUAACCUUGCCAAGGUUAGGGUUGCGGGUUCGAGUCCCGUCUUCCGCUC
rnacentral:tRNA from 1 species